UUGAACGCUGGCGGCAUGCCUAACACAUGCAAGUCGAACGGUAACAGGGGCUUCGGCCCGCUGACGAGUGGCGGACGGGUGAGUAACGCGUAGGAAUCUUCCCAGUAGCGGGGGAUAGCUCGGCGAAAGCCGGAUUAAUACCGCAUACACCCUACGGGGUAAAGCAGGGGAUCGUAAGACCUUGCACUAUUGGAUGAGCCUACGUCUGAUUAGCUAGUUGGUAGGGUAACGGCCUACCAAGGCGACGAUCAGUAGCUGGUCUGAGAGGACGAUCAGCCACACUGGGACUGAGACACGGCCCAGACUCCUACGGGAGGCAGCAGUGGGGAAUCUUGCGCAAUGGGCGAAAGCCUGACGCAGCGACGCCGCGUGAGGGAUGACGGCCUUCGGUUGUAACCGU
rnacentral:rRNA from 1 species